rnacentral:rRNA from 1 species
GGCGAACGCUGGCGGCGUGCUUAACACAUGCAAGUCGAACGGUGAACCUCUUCGGAGGGGAUCAGUGGCGAACGGGUGAGUAACACGUGGGCAACCUGCCCCCGGCUCUGGGAUAACUCCAAGAAAUUGGGGCUAAUACCGGAUGUUCACCGCUUCCCGCAUGGGUGGUGGUGGAAAGGGUUUCCGGCUGGGGAUAGGCCCGCGGCCUAUCAGCUUGUUGGUGGGGUAGUGGCCUACCAAGGCGACGACGGGUAGCCGGCCUGAGAGGGUGACCGGCCACACUGGGACUGAGACACGGCCCAGACUCCAACGGGGGGCAGCAGUGGGGAGUAUUGCGCAAUGGGCGGAAGCCUGACGCAGCGACGCCGCGUGGGUGAUGACGGCCUUCGGGUUGUAAACCUCUUUCAGCAGGGACGAAGCGGUAGUGACGGUACCUGCAGAAGAAGCACCGGCUAACUACGUG